rnacentral:rRNA from 1 species
GACGAACGCUGGCGGCGUGCCUAAUACAUGCAAGUUGAACGCUUCUUUCUUAUCGAACUUCGGUUCACCAAGAAAGAGGAGUAGCGAACGGGUGAGUAACACGUGGGUAACCUGCCCAUCAGCGGGGGAUAACACUUGGAAACAGGUGCUAAUACCGCAUAAUGCUUUUUCUCACAUGAGAGAAAGCUGAAAGGCGCUUUUGCGUCACUGAUGGAUGGACCCGCGGUGCAUUAGCUAGUUGGUAGGGUAACGGCCUACCAAGGCAACGAUGCAUAGCCGACCUGAGAGGGUGAUCGGCCACACUGGGACUGAGACACGGCCCAGACUCCUACGGGAGGCAGCAGUAGGGAAUCUUCGGCAAUGGACGAAAGUCUGACCGAGCAACGCCGCGUGAGUGAAGAAGGUUUUCGGAUCGUAAAACUCUGUUGUUAGAGAAGAACAAGGAUGAGAAGAGAAUGUUCAUCCCUUGACGUAUCUAACCAG